UACGUAGGGAGCAAGCGUUGUUCGGAUUUACUGGGCGUAAAGGGCGCGUAGGCGGCAAUUCAAGUCACUUGUGAAAUCUCCGGGCUUAACUCGGAACGGUCAAGUGAUACUGCUUUGCUAGAGUGCGGAAGGGCAAUCGGAAUUCUCGGUGUAGCGGUGAAAUGCGUAGAUAUCGAGAGGAACACCUGAGGUGAAGACGGGUUGCUGGGCCGACACUGACGCUGACAGCGCGAAAGCCAGGGGAGCAAACGGG
rnacentral:rRNA from 1 species